rnacentral:rRNA from 1 species
AUUGAACGCUGGCGGCAGGCCUAACACAUGCAAGUCGAGCGGUAACACAGGGAGCUUGCUCCCGGGUGACGAGCGGCGGACGGGUGAGUAAUGUCUGGGAGACUGCCUGAUGGAGGGGGAUAACUACUGGAAACGGUAGCUAAUACCGCAUAACGUCGCAAGACCAAAGAGGGGGACCUUCGGGCCUCUUGCCAUCAGAUGUGCCCAGACGGGAUUAGCUAGUAGGUGGGGUAACGGCUCACCUAGGCGACGAUCCCUAGCUGGUCUGAGAGGAUGACCAGCCACACUGGAACUGAGACACGGUCCAGACUCCUACGGGAGGCAGCAGUGGGGAAUAUUGCACAAUGGGCGCAAGCCUGAUGCAGCCAUGCCGCGUGUAUGAAGAAGGCCUUCGGGUUGUAAAGUACUUUCAGCGGGGAGGAAAGUGCUGAGGUUAAUAACCUCAGCAAUUGACGUUACCCGCAGAAGAAGCACCGGCUAACUCCGUGCCAGCCGCCGCGGUAAUAC